AGAGUUUGAUCAUGGCUCAGGACGAACGCUGGCGGCGUGCUUAACACAUGCAAGUCGAGCGGAAAGGCCCUUCGGGGUACUCGAGCGGCGAACGGGUGAGUAACACGUGAGUAACCUGCCCCCUUCUCUGGGAUAAGCCUGGGAAACUGGGUCUAAUACCGGAUAUGACAUGUUCUCGCAUGGGGAUGUGUGGAAAGUUUUUCGGUGGGGGAUGGGCUCGCGGCCUAUCAGCUUGUUGGUGGGGUGAUGGCCUACCAAGGCGACGACGGGUAGCCGGCCUGAGAGGGCGACCGGCCACACUGGGACUGAGACACGGCCCAGACUCCUACGGGAGGCAGCAGUGGGGAAUAUUGCACAAUGGGCGGAAGCCUGAUGCAGCGACGCCGCGUGAGGGAUGACGGCCUUCGGGUUGUAAACCUCUUUCAGCACCGACGAACCUAGACGGUAGGUGCAGAAGAAGCGCCGGCUAACUACGUGCCAGCAGCCGCGGUAAUACGUAGGGCGCAAGCGUUGUCCGGAUUUAUUGGGCGUAAAGAGCUCGUAGGUGGCUUGUCGCGUCUGCCGUGAAAGCCCAUGGCUUAACUGUGGGUCUGCGGUGGAUACGGGCAGGCUAGAGGCAGGUAGGGG
rnacentral:rRNA from 1 species